rnacentral:rRNA from 1 species
CGCACGGGUGAGUAACACGUAUGCAACCUGCCCUCCGCAGGGGGAUAACACCUGGAAACAGGUGCUAAUACCGCAUAAGCGCACGGUCCCGCAUGGGACAGUGUGAAAAGCUCCGGCGGUAUACGAUGGAUCCGCGUCUGAUUAGCCAGUUGGCGGGGUAACGGCCCACCAAGGCGACGAUCAGUAGCCGGCCUGAGAGGGCGGACGGCCACAUUGGGACUGAGACACGGCCCAGACUCCUACGGGAGGCAGCAG